rnacentral:tRNA from 1 species
ACCUGGGUGGCUCAGUCAGUUGAGCAUCUGACUUUGGCUCAGAUCAUGAUCUCACUGUGGGUUCAAGCCCCAUGUUGGGCU